rnacentral:misc_RNA from 1 species
UUUCCGUAGGUGAACCUGCGGAAGGAUCAUUAACACUUUGUCGUUGUACUCCAACGACUAGCCAACUCGCGGACUUUAUUGUCUUUUUCUCAACUUUAUGUUGGGAAAAGCUGCUCCUGUCCUCACAAUUUUUGGGUAUACUAAUCUUUGUGGGUAAGUCAGGCUCCGGCAAACUUUUUUAUUCAUUAAACCCGUUUCACGAUGUUAAUACCCUGAUGUCCUUGCAAAGAAAAGUCUUGUACUUUUCAUAUUUGCAUAUGUUAAUGAAAAACAACUCUUAACAACGGAUAUCUUGGCUCUC